CGUGCGUGAACGAUCGCCCGCUUGUGAAAAGUUAGUGCGACGCAGUGUUUCGUCUACGUAAGAUACCACUUUCACAAGAACAAAAAGGUUAUAAGUGCGAAGAGCGUGCCGUGCGGUGGUUUAACUGCAAGGACGUUGACGACUUCACCCCUGGGGAUGUCUUCAGUGCUUACUGGGAGCGGCGAUGAGAAGACCAAAGUCGGCUCUACGACACCGUGCUUCUGCAUAUGACAGUCCAAACAAGAAAUGGACCAAUGUUUCAAUGCAUACGGAACAAAAAAAAAAGAUACGCCGACCAGCCCAAACAAACAUUUAUGACGUCUCGGCUUUCAGCACGCAAGCCUUGAUCACAAUGAAUGCAUCACCAGAAGUGCUUCGUUUAAAUGGGCUUGAGUAAUCACUGCAAAGGCUGUGCGUAAAUGGGGUUUCGAUUUCCGUCGUUAAGAUUAACUCUCUUGCAAAUGGUCUGUAUGAUAAGUGAUUCUGUACGUCACCGAGAUGCUGCCAUGUUUUCUAUUGUGACGAUUUUUGCGUUGGUCCAAUCAAUCUUGUGGUCAUUCAUCACGGCGUGUUCAGCUAAAGCGUUGUUGUGGACGCUCUUAUUUUUUGUCACGAGCGUGCUGCUGCAGACGCUUCUUGUAGUUUCCUGACUCUCCGAUGUAAACACUCUUGCAGUCUGCCAAGGUAUCUAGUAAACUACACUGGGGAAUUGCUCCCUGGGCAGGCGGUCCUUCACUCUUACAAGUUGAUGGCGCAUCUUUUUGGGUGAAAUGUGUGCCACAUACAUGUCAUACUCAUGUCGGACAUGUGCCAAACAUUCGCUUGUUGCAGAAAUAUGCGUUACAGGGGCUCGCUUCGUAGACGCGGGGGCCAGCAGGGAGGAAGUGCGUCAAGGUGUCAUUGUCAUGACAGCUGAAUUUCGCCUCUGUGCACUCCGCUUUCAACAAGAGGGCUGUUGUCAGCACGCUGCUACAGCAUGCCAAAAGAUUGGGCUCAAAGCCACAUGAUGCAGGCAUGGCAAAGGUACGGGAUGACCUCGCUCAUUGUGGAUACCCUAGGCACUUUACCAGUGCAAUAGACUGUCAACUGUCAUGACGGGUACACACUUACGUGCCUGCUUCCUGCUGGCCCCCUCCUCUACGAAGCAAGCCCCCGUACCGUAUAUUUCUUGAACAAACGAAUGUUUGGCACAUGUCCUACGUGAGUAUGACAUGUAUGUGGCACAAAUUCCACCCGAAAGUUCGUGCCAUCAACUUAUGUGAGUGAAGGAUCACCUGCCCAGGGAGCGUUUCCCCAGUGUAGUUUUACUAGGUACCUUGAGCAGACUGCAAGGGUGUUCACAUCUGAGUCAGGAAACUGCAAGAAGCGUAUGCAACAGUAUGCCUGUGAUGUAAAUAAUACAAGCAUUCGCAACAAAGCUUCAGCAGAACACGCCAUGAUGAAUGACUACAAGAUUGAUUGGACCAACGCAAGAAUCGUCACAGCAGAAAAAGUGACAGCAUCUUGGCUACGUAUGGAAUCGUUUAUCAUGCAGACCACUUCUAAAAGAGGCAUGGCAAAGGUACGGGAUAACCUUAACAACAGAAAUCUAAACGUGAUCAAUGCGAGGUCCUUGCAGCAAUUUCUCAAACCUAUUCAAAUGAACCGCCUCUGCUGAUGCAUUCAUUGUCAACAAGGCUUCCAUGCUCAAAGCCGAAACGUGAUAAACGUUUGUUUGGUCUGGUCGGCAUCUCUUUUUGUUUCAAAUGUACGGUGCCGGCCACACGGGAUUCCUUCACGCUGCCGACUUCCAUGCCAACACAAAGAGUGCAGAAACCGCAACAGAAGGUGACGUAAUGGGAAAGCUGUAUAUCUUCUUUUGCUUCGAAAGCUUUUCAGAUACAGCGCCCUAGCAUCCUUGGUUCUUACAUAACUCAUAUUAUGUGUAGCAUCUGGAAUACUGUACUCUAUGUCAAUAGUUUCUUGCUGCACUGGGGAAGCCGCAGGAUUCAUUUGCGGACAGAAAUACCAAAUCUUCCUAAAUAUGCAUUAAUUUAUGCCAUGUCGUCAGCUCAACGUCUGCUUGCCAUGUUGUCUGUGCCUCCUAUGUGCUUAGUGAAUUGACCCAGCAAAUAUUUGGCAUUUUAACCAUAAACUGUGUUUACAUGAACGUGGCAGUAGGGCCUUGCUUCACAUAUACAUUUUUCAGCAGUUUCCUGCAGCUUCCUUAGAUUUUAAGUAAGGACAAACACUUUGCACACAAGCGUAAAAAGACAUGGAAACACAUGAGCAUAAAGGUAUGUGCUAGCGCAAUUACAUGUCGUGACACCAGGUGCCCUCUUUUUCACAAGUCUCUAAAAUGCACUUUGGCACAUGCCUGGCAGUCUCAUAACGUCUUGCAUUCGCCUUCACAACUUGAUGCCUUUCAUGUCCUGCACAACAGGAUUGCUUUUCUUGAAAAUCAGUCACAUUUGUGCGCCAUGAAUGGGAAGCAUGGAGUGAUGUUUUGUCUUCUGUAUCUGGACCCAUGUGGAUGGCGCCAGCCAAGAAUGGCAAAAAUAGGGAAAACCUGUGCCACUCACACAAUAUUUCAUCCAUGUGAAUUACAAACUUUUAAGCAUUUUUUAAUUAGCAGUUAUCGUCUACUAGUGAAGUGUUGCCAGCUGAAGUGUGCAAGCUUCUCCAUGUCUUGACACCACCCCCCUUCAUGUGCUUCUUGUGUCACUGAUCAUGGACACCUAAUUUUCAGAUGCUGUCACCAUUUGCCAAAUUUUACGAAACAUUAAGAUCACAGUGGCGCAUCCCAUUUGAGAAAGGUUUGAGGGCUUUCACAGCAGGUGCCAUGCCACUUUGAGGCUGUGUUGUUGCCAUGCUGAAUGAUUCUUUAAAGUACUCUUAUUUGACUACUGAAACCUCAUAUUAAUUUCAGAGUUCAUUGAAAGUGGCAUGGUUGAGAUGUCCGCCAAGAACCGAAUCCUGGUUAGGGAAUGAGAGCGCGAUGUGAACACUGCCUGAUUACACUGUGGCACCCAAGACUUGAAGGCGAAGGUCAAGCGUUCUCCAAGUGUUUUUAAGCAUUGUUGGUAGGGUGAGAUAGUAAACAGAUAUUAAUAAGAAAAUCCUAAUAAAUUAGGUUGCUUUGCAGAAACUGUGUGGGAACAGAGCUAAGUCAUUUUCUGAAUACCCAUGCAGGCCACUUGCCACUUCGUUGCAAAGGAGACUACUAAGGAGGCGUUUCUGGAUGACACGGCCUGUUCGAGCCUUCCAUUGUGGGAUGAAUAGUUAUUCCCAUCAUUAGAGCCUUCACCAAAUGAGAUUGGAGGUUCAGCACAGUGUUGCUAUGGCAGCAACAACUGCGCCUGCUACUGACUCUGCUGCCACCUCAUAUCCUGCAGCGAGACCAACUAUAUGUGCUGCCUCUUCUGGUCCUGCAGCCUUAGCAGUCACACUGCCUUCUGCCUCUGAUGCUGACAUGUCGCAGUGUUCGUUCAGCAAGGAUGAACAGCUAAGAUAAUCAAGGAUCCACAAGGAGUAUUAUAGGUUGACCUGCCUAACGGUGGGACGCUAUCAAGGACCGCCUCGAGAAAGGACUUCCAUUUGGUUCAGCGGUCCACCAUCGCAAUAUGGUGGACAGAUGCCCACGCACAUAGGAGCUUCACGGGAACGAACCGUUUUGCAGUAGCAGGCGGCCAGAAGCCUGCACAUCGGCCA